rnacentral:rRNA from 1 species
AGGGAAUCUUCCACAAUGGACGCAAGUCUGAUGGAGCAACGCCGCGUGAGUGAAGAAGGUUUUCGGAUCGUAAAGCUCUGUUGUUGGUGAAGAAGGAUAGUGGUAGCAACUGGCCAUUAUUUGACGGUAAUCAACCAGAAAGUCACGGCUAACUACGUGCCAGCAGCCGCGGUAAUACGUAGGUGGCAAGCGUUGUCCGGAUUUAUUGGGCGUAAAGCGAGCGCAGGCGGAAAGAUAAGUCUGAAGUGAAAGCCCCCGGCUUAACCGGGGAACUGCUUCGGAAACUGUCCUUCUUGAGUGCAGAAGAGGAGAGUGGAACUCCAUGUGUAGCGGUGGAAUUCGUAGAUAUAUGGAAGAACAUCAGUGGCGAAGGCGACCACCUGGACUGAUACUGACACUGAGGUGCGAAAGCGUGGGGAGCAAACA